AUGGAUAUUCAGGAGGCCUUGACCGGUGGCCUGAAGGUUUUGCAGGGUAUAAUUUCUGGGCAGGUGCAGUCAAGUCCUUCCUGCCUCUCAUGGCUCUUCAGGAUAAAGGUUUCGUGUUUCUGGCUGUUUAUGUGCUCCGAGGUGGCUGAGAGGUGGUGCCCUGACCAGCUGAGCUGGAGGUGGCAGGCUCUGGGCUUCUGGAAAGCCAGAGAUGUUUCCAGGGGCGUUGGCCUUCAGAAAACAAAGGGAUCUUAUCUCAUGGCACGCUGGAUGCAAGCAGGACUUCACUUUGAAUGCUGCCAGCUCUGUUUUUCUGCUCCCUGCCAAAUGACUUUAACUCCUGAACCCUCCUUCCAUUUACUCUUUUUGCAUCCCAGCUGCAGGGAAGAUAAUUUGGAGUAGAGUUUACAUGUGGCAGAAUGAAUGUCUGUUACAUUAAUGGGUUUCUCUCUGCUGAUAACAGUGCUUGUGCACCAGGAAAGCUUCAAGAGAUAAUUGGUUAAUUCAGGAGUCCAUUUGUUAAUUCUGAUGACUCUAAAAAUCCCAUCAAGAUCCCAUUCAGUGUGGGUUUUUUUUUUUUUCUAAAAUCUUGAGCCCAUUUGUGACCAGGAGGGACUUAAAAAUUUAGUUACUUGGAGGUCUUCUGUCUGACACUGUCUCUGAGUCUGAUUGGUGAGCAUUUGAAUGCCUUGGGCAAUAAUUGUAAUAAUAUAAUUGAUAUUCCUGUAAGGUUUUGACUGGAAUUCUUUAACUAGUGUUGAACAACCUGAAUGGAAUAUAGAUUCCAGAUUUAAGUACAGAUGAGUUCAUAUGUUGUCUGAAUGUUAAGGGUAAUUUCAGUUUCUUUUUUAUGAAAUGAAGGUGGCAGUACCCAGAUUAAAUGUCUGUUUAAAAAACAUCCCUGAAAUAGGCCAUCCUGUCUGCAAGAGGAUCCUUGACAUGCUUGGCAUGGGCUCAGUUAUCCCAAAUGUUGCCAACAAAUGUUGCUCUUGUCUGCUUGCCAAAGUAAAAAAGCCACUAAAUCUCAUUAUAAGCUAUGCUUAACUACCUUUUUUUUCUUUUUCCCUCCCAUAAAUCAUGCAGCAGAAUUGUUCCAUUCAUUUUCAUGGCACAGAAAUAUUUGGGAAUGAUCUGCUAACAAAUAUUGGGGGUGUUAGUUGAUAUUUGGGAAGCAGGCCUGUUUCAACCUUGUUCACCCACUGCUUGACUUGAAUUUGCUCUUCUCUGACACUCUUGUGACAGAUCACAGGAUUUUCAUCUGAGUUCUCCUUUAGUUUCAUUUCUUCUCUUCCUUCUCUCCCUCGCAGCAAAUGUUCCAACUUCUUCUGUGGACUUUUUUCAAUCUGUUAUAGAUCUGGUGUUCAGUUGGUCUUACCCCAUCUCUCCAUCUGCCUGAAAUCAGGAUUCUCUUGACCUGUUUUUGUGGUGUUUUUUUUAAUAACUUGAUGAUGAUGAUGAUUAUCUGUGCACUUAUGUAUUACAUAAGGGUUUUUUUGUGCUUGUCUGUAUAUUAAUGAUUGUUUUCCCUUAUUUUUGGGGUUAUAUUAAAUAGCUUCUCUGUCCAUAGAAGUAAAUUGAACUACAGUACCACCAAAAAGCACCUGCCAGCUUAUUAUUGAAUGUGGUUAAUUGCAAAAAUUAAUGAAUUCUUAGCAGAAGAGGUAUUUCUUGAAGAUAAAUUGAGUUUCUGGUAGAAACUCAGACAGUUGAGCUGUUAAUAACAGGAGCAGAAACCACUUCCCUGAUGUAGUUCAUUUGGUUUCUCAAUUUUAAACAAAUAGUCCUUGAUCUGAACAUGUUCCUCAUCUGAGACAAAGAGUCCUUACUUGAAAGAACUACUGCUGUUAUAAAUGAAUGCUGGAUUUUUAACAAACCUUUGUAUUCAUGCAAUUAGGCACUGAAUUCCAUCAACUUUGUAGAUACAUAUUUCUUGAAAGGUUUAUUUAAAUUGCUAGGUAUUUCUUGAAAGGUUUAUUUAAAUUACAAGGUAUUUCUUGAAAGGGUUAUUUAAAUUACAAGGUAUUUCUUGAAAGGGUUAUUUAAAUUAUUAGGUGUAACUUGAAAAGUUCACUGUGUUUCCACAGAGGUCUGGGUUGUUCCAUGUGGUCAUAAAUAACUUGGGAAAUGAGAUGAGCAGUGUCUUGUUGAUACAAAGUCAUUCAGGAAAGUAAGGAUUAGGUAAUAAAUUUGCAGAAAUGAUUCA
ensembl:lncRNA